rnacentral:rRNA from 1 species
UACGGAGGGUGCAAGCGUUGUUCGGAUUUAUUGGGCGUAAAGCGCGUGUAGGCGGUUUCUUAAGUCUGAUGUGAAAGCCCGGAGCUCAACUCCGGAACUGCCUUUUAGACUGCAUCGCUUGAAUCCAGGAGAGGUGAGUGGAAUUCCGAGUGUAGAGGUGAAAUUCGUAGAUAUUCGGAAGAACACCAGUGGCGAAGGCGACUUACUGGACGAUUGUUGACGCUGAGGUGCGAGAGCGUGGGGAGCAAACAGG